AGAUAUGGUCGAAGCGCUUAUAUGUACUCAAAACUGGUUGAAGCCUUCUGACAAUGAUCUAAAUGUCCUUAAUAUGACUGAAGAAUAUGAGAUUAGUGAAUCAAUUGUUUCAGAGUUUCAAGUAGCUACUGGUGGAGCAGCUGCUCCUACACAGGCUGGGCCUGUUUAAUUCUCGCCUAGCUGUGAAUUUUUGAAUAUUUUGGAGUCACUUUGUGAUUCAAUAAGACAAGCCUUUCUUUUUGG